rnacentral:rRNA from 1 species
UACGGGGGGGGCAAGCGUUGUUCGGAAUUACUGGGCGUAAAGGGCUCGUAGGUGGCCAACUAAGUCAGACGUGAAAUCCCUCAGCUUAACUGGGGAACUGCGUCUGAUACUGGAUGGCUUGAGUUUGGGAGAGGGAUGCGGAAUUCCAGGUGUAGCGGUGAAAUGCGUAGAUAUCUGGAGGAACACCGGUGGCGAAGGCGGCAUCCUGGACCAAUACUGACACUGAGGCACGAAAGCGUGGGGAGCAAACAGG